GAUGAACGCUGGCGGCGUGCCUAAUACAUGCAAGUCGAGCGAACAGACGAGGAGCUUGCUCCUCUGACGUUAGCGGCGGACGGGUGAGUAACACGUGGAUAACCUACCUAUAAGACUGGGAUAACUUCGGGAAACCGGAGCUAAUACCGGAUAAUAUAUUGAACCGCAUGGUUCAAUAGUGAAAGACGGUUUUGCUGUCACUUAGAGAUGGAUCCGCGCCGCAUUAGCUAGUUGGUAAGGUAACGGCUUACCAAGGCGACGAUGCGUAGCCGACCUGAGAGGGUGAUCGGCCACACUGGAACUGAGACACGGUCCAGACUCCUACGGGAGGCAGCAGUAGGGAAUCUUCCGCAAUGGGCGAAAGCCUGACGGAGCAACGCCGCGUGAGUGAUAAAGGUCUUCGGAUCGUAAAACUCUGUUAUUAGGGAAGAACAAAUGUGUAAGUAACUAUGCACGUCUUGACGGUACCUAAUCAGAAAGCCACGGCUAACUACGUG
rnacentral:rRNA from 1 species